AGCGAACGCUGGCGGCAGGCCUAACACAUGCAAGUCGAACGAACCUUUCGGGGUUAGUGGCGGACGGGUGAGUAACACGUGGGAACGUGCCUUUAGGUUCGGAAUAACUCAGGGAAACUUGUGCUAAUACCGAAUGUGCCCUUCGGGGGAAAGAUUAAUCGCCUUUAGAGCGGCCCGCGUCUGAUUAGCUAGUUGGUUGAGGUAAUGGCUCACCAAGGCUACGAUCAGUAGCUGGUCUGAGAGGAUGAUCAGCCACAUUGGGACUGAGACACGGCACAAACUCCUACGGGAGGCAGCAGUGGGGAAUCUUGCGAAAUGGGCGAAAGCAUGACGCAGCCAUGACGCGUGAAUGAUGAAGGUAUUAGGAUUGUAAAAUUCUUUCAACGGGGACGAUAAUGACGGUACCCGGAGAAGAAGCCCCGGCUAACUUCGUG
rnacentral:rRNA from 1 species